rnacentral:rRNA from 1 species
CCUACGGGGGGCAGCAGUCGGGAAUAUCGCGCAAUGGAGGAAACUCUGACGCAGUGACGCCGCGUAUAGGAAGAAGGUCUUCGGAUUGUAAACUAUUGUCAUUAGGGAAGAGAAAGGACAGUACCUAAAGAGGAAGCUCCGGCUAACUACGUGCCAGCAGCCGCGGUAAUACGUAGGGAGCAAGCGUUAUCCGGAUUUAUUGGGUUUAAAGGGUGCGCAGGCGGAGGUGCAAGUCAGCGGUCAAAUUGCGGGGCUCAACCCCGUACUGCCGUUGAAACUGCAUCCCUUGAGUGCGCGAGAAGUAU